UACGUAGGCAGCAAGCGUUGUUCGGAGUUACUGGGCGUAAAGGGUGCGUAGGUGGCGCCGUAAGUCAGGUGUGAAAUUUCGGAGCUUAACUCCGAAACUGCAUUUGAUACUGCGGUGCUUGAGGACUGGAGAGGAGACUGGAAUUCACGGUGUAGCAGUGAAAUGCGUAGAUAUCGUGAGGAAGACCAGUGGCGAAGGCGGGUCUCUGGACAGUUCCUGACACUGAGGCACGAAGGCUAGGGGAGCAAACGGG
rnacentral:rRNA from 1 species